GACAGUGAGAGAGAGAGACAGAGAGAAAGGUCUUCCUUUGCCGUUGGUUCACCCUCCAAUGGCCGCCGCGGCUGGCGCGCUGCGGCCGGCGCACCGCGCUGAUCCGAUGGCAGGAGCCAGGAGCCAGGUGCUUUUCCUGGUCUCCCAUGGGGUGCAGGGCCCAAGCACCUGGGCCAUCCUCCACUGCACUCCCUGGCCACAGCAGAGGGCUGGCCUGGAAGAGGGGCAACCGGGACAGAAUCCGGCGCCCCGACCGGGACUAGAACCCGGUGUGCCGGCACCGCUAGGCGGAGGAUUAGCCUAGUGAGCCGCGGCGCCGGCCUGUAGCUGCUAAUUUCAAGCAUUCUGUGUAGCUCACGUGCUAUUAUGACACAAUUAUGUCAUGACAGGAAUUUGUAGUUCCUUCAAUUGUUGUUGCCUAACUAGUAGAUGUAUUUGUGGGACACACAGGUUGUCAUGUUCAUUAUUCUUUUCUCAGUUGCUGCAAGAAGUUUCAAGUAGCUAUUUGGCAGGAACAUGAACUUCACAAAAUUAUGAAAACUCAGUUUCUUCAGAAGAAAUAAGAAUCCUGGAUAUUAGUGUAGUUACCUAUUUACUAAUAUCCAAGGGGAAAGAUCUCAAGAUGGAAGCUGGCAGAAUGUCUGAAUACUUUCGCAUAAUCCUUAGAAAUGGCUGGUCAGAUGUGCAGCCAUAUAUAAGGCCAAGAGCCAUCCAUUCUGAGGAAAUCGUGAAGUUGGCCAAGUUUGUUCCAAAGGGAUCUCUUCACAAACUUUUGAGGACUAUUCUUACCUGCACCACUAUAUAUCCAUUUAAUUUAUGGAAUCUAUAGCCAACCAGGCCUAAAAUGCAGAACACAUAGAACCAGGACUGUAUUUUCAGCAAUGUUUCUCUAUUAUUACCAACAUUUCUUUGGUGCUAUGUGGGUAAUAAAAAAUAUUCUUCACCAGAAGCCCCAUAAAAUUAGUUAAAUUCUACCUUAAAUAAAAGUAACUCUUUAAUAUUAGAAAUACUAUUGUGUCAGGAUGUUAUAAUCACUAUCCUGUAAAGUCCAUAGUACCUUGACACAAAAGUUAGUUCCUUUGAAAGUUCCAAUUAGUCUUUCUUAUGUAUUAUUUCAUGAUUUUUAAAAAUAUAAUUUGGAUUUGUGCACUUCUUAUCUUUCAUGGAAAAUGUAUAUUGUUAAAUGAAGACAAACCCAAAUUGUGUUUUAAUACAAUAUAAAUGUAAGAAAUAAUGAAGAAAUACUCAAUCCAGUAGCUGAAAUAAGAUUUCCACCAAGAUAACUGUUAUGUCAGGUAAAAGCCAAAGCAGAAAUAUUAGAAGGGCCAUUAUAUUAUAACAGAAGGAGAAAAUAUAGGAAUUACCUUGUUUUGGAGAGGCAUUCUGAGAUCCCCAAGAUACCAUUAGUUUAUGAUCAGAAAACUGGGUUUCAGCACAGAUAUUUUGUCACAUAAUGGCUAGACGACUCUGAGUGCAUAAAUACAAUUCUCUGAAGCUCAGUAUACUCAUUGAUCAAAAGAAACCAAUAAUCGCUGUUUCAUCUGGUAGCUUUCAAGGAACUGGAAGGGAUGAAGUUCAGGGGAAAGUAUAAGAAACAUAGAAAAAAUAUCAAAAAUACAAGUUGGAUGAGAAGAUGCUGCUAAAGUGCAUUAUUAUUAUGGCUAUUAUCUUUAUUAUUAUUGAAAGAGCUCUUCCCUGAAGAUUAGCUUUUUAGCAUCAUCCUAAUGAUGUAAGCUCAUGUGUGUCUCACCUCCUCUUCCAGAGGGUGAUCUUCCAAAUGUUCAGGCUGUUUGCAACCACAGAGGCAAGAAACUUAACUGCAUUAUAAGGGUUUCAUCUCAUAACUCUUGACUCAUUAGCACUAAGUGAAAUGAACUAGCCAACUGAACCAAGAUACAUAACGAUAUUUUAAACGUGGGAAUUAACAAGUUUGCUUCUUCUUUAUCUAUUGACUUCACACAUAAAUUUACUGCUCUUCCCAGCUUCACUUUCAAGAUGACUUACCACGUGUGCUGCUCUGCCUGUGAAUCAGCUCAAGUUGUUUCACUCACCCGAUACAGACCUGUUGAGGGUAGACGUUACCAGAAACACAAGCAAAUGUGAAUGUGAUGUGUCAGUGUCACAAUGAAAACAAGGAUCGACUCUCUCCUCCUAACAUAUCUCAAGGUAAACUCUGUGGAGGUCUUCUGGCAAUAGUUGUUGAAUCAAGAUAAAAAAAUCUCAGGGAAUGGACUUCCUUCUUCAAAAUCUGGUCAUCUGAUGCUCUUCCUGAGCAAACAGUUGAUGGGCAGCUUGUGGUAUUUCUUCACAGGUCUAGUCAUUGAGCAUGGUGUCAUGGUUGACUUUUUCAUCUAGCAAUACAGAGCUAAGGGUGAACUUUCUAAAACAAUUGACUUCCUUGGAAGAAGAAACAUGCAAAUUCAAAGAAACAGUUGGCAAAUUUGACUUGUGUGAACCUCAAUACCUGCCAGAGAUGAAAAGCCAUCAGAGAAAGAAAUCAUUCCAGCAGGUAGAACUGGAUUUGUGCAAAAGCUACUCAGAAUCCUGGUAGGAAAGGGAAUAAAGUAAAUCCAGCUGAUGUCUGUUUCUGAUGAAGCUCAACUGUUACCUUGCUCUGAUUAGCCAAAAAGUAGUCACUUUCCUUUACCCCAGAGACACAUUCUAGGUGGUUGUGGUGUGAGGGGUUCUCUUCGGAAAAGCAAAGUUCUAAUGACAAAGGAUUUAGGCUUUGACUCAAUUUAAUAAAUCACCUAAUUAUCUACAAUAUGAUUAUCAAGUUGAUCACUCACUGAAAAAAAAAAAUGGAACCUUCCUGAGACAUGGCUGUGAGAACCAAUUUGCAAAUUACUUAGAGGUAGUGACUUUUUUUUUUUAUUUGAGAGAAUAUAUUGGUAGUUAUGAAACAGAACUCAAUAGUUUUAUUCAUUUUAUCUCAGUCAAAAAGUAAGUAUAUAUUUUUUUUUCCUGGAAAAGGCUUUAGUUAUUCAUCAUUUCAGUUUCACUCUUCUAUAUGAUUCUUUAAAAUUUCAAAAAACACUACAGUACAAUAGACAAAAUUUAAUUAUCAAACUUCACCAAAAUAGUUGCUCCAAUACCUUGCAGGAGAAAAAUAAUUACAUAUAUAGUUUACAUUUUACAAACUGGAAAAAGAUUAUGCUUAAUGUAUUUGAAAAUUCUUUGAUUAUGUUAUUAAUAUAUUCACUACAACAAAAUCUGACUUUACACAGAACUGUGAGAAUCAUAGCCAAAUACCAUUAUGGAAUAUUAGCACAGAAUAUUUAUUUAUGUUAGAUUCAAUCAUUGUAAAGAGUUUCCUAAUAUGGGUUUUAAAACAAAAGAUGAAACAAUGAAAAAAUAGUAUCAAAAUUGUAAUUCUAUGUUUAACAUCUUUAAAAUAAACAUGUUUUGGCUCAGGCUACAUGAUAUUAAGCAUGGACAGAGAGAAUGAGAAAAAGAAUGUUUUUGUUGAAAUUAUGCCAAUGCAUCCAAUGAACAAAGAAAGUAUCACCAAAACUUUAUGCUUGAAAAGUUUGUUAUCAUGUUGGACAAGCAAUUAACUUUUUGUCUGUGUUUUUCUUUAAAGAGAAUGAACAUAGACAUUAGUGGCUGUAUUUAGUACUGAUGAUUAGUUUCUAUCAAACCCCUCCCAUAUGGGUGCUGGUUUAUGUCCUGGCUGCUCCUCUUCUGACCCACAAUCCAGUUCUCUACUUAUGGCCUGGGAAAACAGAAGAUGGCCCAAGUGCCUGGGAACCUGUAUCCACAGGGUCCUGGAAGUCCUGGAAGAAGCUCCUGGCUUCAGAUCGACCCAGCUCCAUUCAUUGCGACCUUGAAGAGUGGACCAACAGAUGGAAGACCUCUCUCUCUGCCUCUUGCUCUGUCUGUCUGUAGCUCUACCUCACAAAUAAAUAAAUAAAAAUCUCAAAAAAAAAAAAAAAAAAAAACUAUACUUCCAUCCACUGAUUCAUUUCCCAAAGCCUUCCAUAGCUGGGCCAGGACAAUGCUGGGAGGAGAAAUCAAUCUGGGUCUUCAAGUUGUUUGGCAGAAUGCAACUAGUUAAGCUAUAACUUUUU